UUAUUGGAGACUUGGAGUCACGCUCUCAAGCACGCCACGUCAUAUAGGGCUGUUCGACAUCUUUUUUAAGAUUUGUUGAAAUCGUGAAACGCAGCAACUCAUGUAUUUUUUCGUCUGCUACGAGUGACUUGUGUAGUUCUGCGAAAUAUUAAUUUUUUAAAAAACAGUGAUAGAAAAGGGGGUUAAGACCUCUUAUGAACUCAGAUACUUCAAUAUCAACAAUGAGGAAAAGGAUGAUGAUGAUGACAAGGAAUAAGUUCGUCUCCCCGUUGUUUCGUUUUUGCUGUAAAGUAAUAAACGAUGACCAUUAUAUUUGUACAAUUGUUACUGCAUUAAACUUGACACCAUUCCUUGACACAUACUUUCAGGGUUAUUUUUACAUAAAAAAAUUGUCAGUUUAAGAUUAUUUGUAUGGAACGUUAGUAGGCUGUGUACGAAGGGAAUUAUAAUUUUGCAUUAAGAAGAUUCCAGGUUAUGAAGGAACUUGGUCUAAGCAUUUGCUAGUAAGAUGUCGGAUCCAUUCAUGUGGUUGCAUGUUUCGAUUUGACCAAUAAUUCAUAUCAGACAUGAAGGCUGGGAAGACAGUGAAAGUGAAGUAAAUGCAUUCUGCGUAAAGCAAUCGACCUUCAAUACAACUGUUAUCAAAUUGAGGCAAGUAAAAUAUAAUUAAGUGAAACUAAGCUAAUUUUCUAGAUCUCGAGUAAUAUUUUGUAAAUAUUUAUCUAAACUCAAAAUUGAAAGCCAGACAACAAGUAAUGGAAUGUCAUGUAUAUUUCUCAAUUAACAAAAAUUUCAUCACUUGAAUCAUAACAAAGAGCUUUAUCGACGAUUCAAAUCUAAAUCUUCCAUGAAGUAAGUUAAGUUCAGCCGAAUCUUUUUACUGCCUUGACUUACGCAUUGAAGAAGAUUCAUCAUCUGCCUAGGAGUAUAUUCCUUCAACAAAGGCAUAAACAAAAUUAUUAGCUGCUGACGACGCGAAUUUCUUAAAUUAAUGACAACGAAUUUUCAGGUAAAUAAUAUGCCUUUAUGUAUGUUUCGACAAUAUGUGGGUCAGGAAGAGGUCUUAGACGUGUCAAGCUUUCCACUUUGACUUGAAAAUGCCUGAAGUCUAACUGCAUUAGUGCACGACCUUCGUUCGUGCAUUUUCUUACAGCGGAAAAUCUAAAGAAUUUCAAAUCGGAUACGGUCUUACAUAAAGGAGGCAGAAUCUGAGGGUAACAGACACGAAGGACACUCAAGUCGUAGUCACUGAGAACCUGCGAAAGAAAUAAGAAUUACAUCAUAGAUGGAAUAUGAUUUUGAUAGCUUUUCGUUUCAACAAGAUAUAUGAAGAUAUCUGAGGGAGCAAUUUUUGGAACAAUUGGACAACAGUCUAAACCGUGUUUCCACAGAGAAUUAGGAAUACAAUAUGGACAAUCACUGUUAAACAUUUGUAACUUUUCCAAAUAACGUGUUUUGGCCUCAAUACUAAGUCCACUGGCAUAAUUAGACAGUGACAUAGUUAAACACUAACACUAUAACGAACUAAUAUAUAAAGAAAACACAUCAGAACUUCAAAACAACCCCGUUUUCUAUCACUGUUUUUUAAAAAAAUUUAUAUUUCGCAGAACUACACAAGUCACUCGUAGCAGACGAAAAAAUACAUGAGUUGCCGCGUUUCACGA